rnacentral:rRNA from 1 species
UACGGAGGGUGCAAGCGUUGUUCGGAAUCACUGGGCGUAAAGCGCGUGUAGGCGGCCACUUAAGUCUGAUGUGAAAGCCCUGGGCUCAACUCAGGAAGUGCAUUGGAUACUGGGUGGCUGGAGUACCGGAGAGGAGGGUGGAAUUCCUGGUGUAGCGGUGAAAUGCGUAGAGAUGUGGAGGAACACCAGUGGCGAAGGCGACUCUUUGGUCUGUAACUGACGCUGAGGCGCGAAAGCGUGGGGAGCAAACAGG